rnacentral:lncRNA from 1 species
UGGAUUUUGGUGAAAAUUUGUUCAUGCGUUAGGUUUUGAUGAAGAACAUGUGAAGAACAUUUGAAAAUUUCCAGAAACCGUCUUUUGAUCCAGUUUUUCGCGUUUGGCUUGGCUUUAGGUGUUAGUCACUGUAGCGCGCGCCAGGAUUUAAAUUCAUACCUGCUUCGAUACCGCCCUCCAGCAUUUUCCACUUUUGGCAUUUGCAAUUUAUUUCCAUAUGUUACCAUAUU